GGAAGAUUAAUACUCCAUAAUAUAUUGAACGGCAUCGUUUAAUAUUGAAAGCUCCGGCGGAUAGAGAUGGGCACGCGCAAGAUUAGCUAGUUGGUGAGGUAACGGCUCACCAAGGCAAUGAUCUUUAGGGGCCUGAGAGGGUGACUCCCCCACACUGGUACUGAGACACGGACCAGACUCCUACGGGAGGCAGCAGUGAGGAAUAUUGGUCAAUGGGUGCAAGCCUGAACCAGCCACUCCCGCGUGAAGGACGACUGCCCUAUGGGUUGUAAACUUCUUUUGUAUAGGGAUAAACCUUUCCACGUGUGGAAAGCUGAAGGUACUAUACGAAUAAGCACCGGCUAACUCCGUG
rnacentral:rRNA from 1 species